rnacentral:lncRNA from 1 species
UUUUUUUUUUGCAGUAUGGGGGAUUUCAUGUAUGAUACGCAAGUCUCUGCCACUAAGCUACAUCCACAUUGUCUCAUCCCACUGAUGAACACACACUGCAAGGAGGGAAGAAAGAUAGGAUGAGUCAACAUGCACCGAUGGGUGCUGGGUGGUAAUGUUGGGUGGCUGGUCAGCCUUGAAUGGCUAAGCAAGGAAAGGAGACUGAAAACCGUGAGAGCCUUAUUUGACAGGCGAGCACCUAGAAGAUGGGGGCUGCUGUGUCAAAACCUUCCUCAGCCAUAAUUAAUCCCCUGAGCAUAACUCAACAUCAGAUCAUAGCCUGCCAGAUGGCCUAGGCCCUCCCUUAUCACCUAAACUAUGUCACAACCCCCAAUCACUCUGUGAAUGAAAACAUCAGGACCCUUACAAAGAAAACUUGCUGAGAACUAUUCAAAGGGUAGUGAAACAAUUAAAAGGACAGGAAAGUAAGACAAAAACAGAGGGAUUCAAAUUCCUUAAAACCGCUAACCCUCUGAGCACCACACCAUUCUCUCCUUGAGGUGUCCAUGCAGUUCCCAUGCUGUAACUUACCUUACUUCUCACUGUCUCUGGGCCCACUGUACCUGUGCUGACCCACAUGCUUUUUUUUCCUCCUUUAUUUUUGGGGAGUGCCAGGGGUUGGACUUGGGGGCACUUGACUACUGAGCCACAUUCCCAGCCCUAUUUUGUAUUUUAUUUAGAGACAGGGUGUGAGGGGAGUUGCUUAGCGCCUCACUUUUGCUGAGGCUGGCUUUGAACUCCCGAUCCUCCUGCUUCAGCCUCCUGAGCUGCUAGGAUUACAGGUGUGUGCCACCAUGCC